rnacentral:misc_RNA from 1 species
GGGAUUUUGGAACCAAUUUGCAUGCUUAGCCAUUUUCAUGCAAUGUGAACUUGAGGAGGGAAAAUGUCCCGCCAAUCAGCUCUCAUCCUAGUGGGACCCGAGCACUAAGGAGCCAAAUCUGUUGGCCCUUAUUUCCUCCCGCCUUGGACCAGCUAGGUGUCACCUGGAGAUUAUUUCUCACGCCCACUAAGUCCAUUCUGCCGCCCAAUAAGCCUUGGAUUAGUGGAGUUUGAAUUGUUUUAAA